CUGGCCAGGCAAACAGUGCGCCUGCAGGAGACCCCCUGGGUCUUUCCCUUCCUUUGUACCGCUGUCUCGCUCUCCCUUCCUCACCCUCUUUCUUCUACAAAUAUUUAUCAGAGUCCUUCGGGGGCUAAGGCAUGCUGGCCCACACACUGUCAGGAUCACAAAAAAGCUAAAUAUAAAUAUGCCUCCCAGAGCUUCGGAUAUCAGAACCCAAGUUAGCUGGGACCCAAAGUCUCUGGAAGGCUAGAAAGUUAAUACGGGACGACGUCUCUUGGGACAAGGCAGGUUUUAUCUGUUAAAGAAGAAACUUCUGGCUUGUGUGAGUCACUCAGGCUGCCUGGACUCCUGGGUCUCCCCCUGGAGGGUUGCAUGGUGGGACUUCAUGCAUGAAAAACAGAUUUCACGAUUUCACUAAAAUUGGUUCGAGGCAUCCUGUGUGUCCGGCCCUGGUCUGGUGAUGGUUUCCAGGGCGCAGGAGAAGGUGUGUGGGUCAGCAGGGUUCUCUGGGAAAGAAGACGGGAAGAUGGCCUUCAGAUUUGGCAGCCAUGGGCCACCUGACUCUUCACAUUGAGCCUUGGAGCUGGCCAGCUAGAGGGCAGUUGGGGAGAACACUCCAGGUCACAAGAGAAGGCCGAGCUGGGAGGGAGGGUCUCUAAGGUGCGGUUGAUCUCAGACACCAAGAUUCUACUAUAAAUGGAAGAGUUGGCCGUCCUACAGCCAGGCAGGGGAACUUGGAAAUCUGAUGUUCCAGAAGAGUGUCGUGAAGGAGCAAAGAAAACCCACCAGCAGAUAUUGCUGGGGCCCUGGUUUACAGGCUUAGGGUGGGACAGCGGCCUGACCCCAAGGUGUAGCAGCUGGAACAAGAACGGGCGGAGCAGCUUCGUUCAAGAUCAGAGACCGGCCAGGUGCCCACCGACGGGAGAAUGGAUGAACACGCCGUGGCGUUUUGUGCAGUGGAAUGUCACUCUGUAGCAGAAAGGGACAAAUGACAGCGUGGGUGAGGCUCAGCAAGGCUGUGCUGAGUGGAAGAAGCCCUGCCCAGACGGGCACCCCCGGUGCAAUUCCGUGUCUGUCACGUCCCAGCACCGGCAGAUCCACCCAGUGGUGGCAAGAGCCCAGACGAACGGUGGUCGCUGUUGUGCAUGGGCAGGACUGAGCAGGAAAUGGCAGGAAGCAGGAAGGGCUUCGGGGAUGUGGUAACAUGUACUUUGAUACGGGUUUGGGUUACACAGGUCUAUGCGUUUGCCCAAACUCAGCAAAUAUUUAAGCAACUGUAAACAAAUGUUGGCCAUGAGCUAGCAAUAUGC
ensembl:lncRNA novel transcript